AAAGUAGACGAGGUGAUCGCCGGUUAUAAUGAAUCUUCGGAUUUAUUAUUGGACGGGAGGAAAGUCCGAGCUCCAUAGGGCGCAGUGCUCCGUAACGCGGAGUCCCGGCGACGGGAAGGAAAGUGCAACAGAAAAUAUACCGUCUCAUCUUUUUUUCGAUGGGAUAAGGGUGAAAUGGCGGGGCCGAAAGGCUUAAUGUAAGAGCCCACCGCUCCGGCGGCGACGUUGGAGGCAUGGCAAACCCCACUGGGAGAAAGGCCAAAUAGGGAGGGAUGAAGCUGCCCGCUUCGCUAUACCUUCGGGUAGGCCGUUAGAUCUCGCUGGCAACAACGAGGCUAGAUGAAUGAUCACCCACGACAAGACUCGGCUUAUUGUCUACUUUUACC
rnacentral:RNase_P_RNA from 13 species